GAAGGACGAAUUCCCUUUAUUUCUUUAUUCAUAGGACUGGCAGUGUGCCUGUUACCUGGUAAACCAGUGACUGAGGAAAGAUGUUUCUGGCAGAGAGGAUGUGAGAGGAUGAAGUGACACAAUGACCAGGGGGAGGAGAGAUGGGAGGAGGCCAAGAAUGCUGUGUCACACGAUGGAGACGCAGAUAUGCCUUUCCCUUCAGGUAGACGCCUCAAGGAGGCUUGUCUUCUGAACAAAAAGGGUUAAAGACAACCAAGAAGAAAAGAAAAGACUUUCAGAGCUGGUCACUCUUUAGUCCUUCUCUGCUGAUGGGUGCUACUCGGGAUGCCAAAAGGAUGUUUUAAAGGUUGCCUUGCCCUGACCUGGACGGUUGGAGAGGACACACAGAAGUUGCCCAUGAACAGUGGUGGCAGCGUUGGCACUUCAUAUGAACCCUCUCCUCUCAUCCGUACUCCCGAGUCUCACUACGUAGCCCUGGCUGGCCUGCAGCUCUCUGUGUAGAUUAGGCUGCUCUUGACGUCACAGAGCUCCUCCUGCCUGUGCUGGCAUUAAAGGGAGGUGCUGUGAUGAUCACGCCAUCCUGGCAGAUGAAAGAAGUUCUCUGCAGGCUGUGAGGGAUGGCUCCUGGGCCAGGGAUGAGGAUAAAUGUGAUGGAUGAUGAUAACCAUGCUGAUGGUGAAGGUCAAGGUGCUGGCGAUAAUAAAGAAGAAGAAGAAGACAAACUUGGGAACGCCGUGGACUGCCCUCUUCCAGUUCAAUAGGCCCCUAACACGGCUCCCUGGCUCGCAAUUCACAGUAACAGCCAGACAGCCACAUAAACCGGCGACAUCGGCCCUCUGAGCUCUCUGCCAUGUGGCUCCCAGGUUGUUUACUGGCUGAGUGCUGAUAGGUGCUCCUCUUUGUCUGUGGGCAUUCACUCCACGAUUUA